UCUCAAAAUAUAGUUCCAAACACAACAAUAUGUAAUAUCCUAAACUCCAAUUUAAAUUACUUAGUAAAAUAAACAAAUCUUGAGAGAGAUGUACGAUGAAUUGAAUUGAGUAUUACAAAUUUUCUUUGAAUAAAAAGGCUAAGGAUGCCACAUACAUUUUCAUAAAACACUUAUAAUAGAAGUCAUGAACUAAUUUUGGAAUCAAAUACUUUACAUGCAGAGCUUUGGAAACUUCCACUCACCCCAUAUCACCUAAGUAGAGCUUUGGAUCAUCGACUAACAACCUGCAACAACUGCAUUUUCAUAAACAACCGAACGGGUGCACACUCAAAAUACUAGAACAUCAUAUAUGCACACAGAUUAUGAAUGAAUAUGGUAAGAUGCAUGAACACAUAAUUGACAUUUAGAAAAUUAGCAUAGAACUUAGCACGGAUACAAGCCAAUAUUAUGAAUUCACAAUCAUAGACAUAUGCAGAUCACAAACACCUAACAUAAGGAUGCAUAAUUAAUGUAUGAGUAAUAUCAACAACACAAUGCAAUAUUGCCUUAGAGGAGUAUAAGGACUUUAUACAGUUCACAUAGUUAAAUAUGUAC
rnacentral:lncRNA from 1 species